GAGAUCGUACUUCUAGGGAUCAGUCCUAUAGUACGUAUCACCAGGACGUCAAACAAACUUCGUCUCAAUAUUUCCAUAACAAAAAAACGGUUUGCUGAAGU
rnacentral:snoRNA from 1 species